rnacentral:tRNA from 1 species
GGUGAGAUGGCCGAGCGGUCCAAGGCGCCAGACUAAGGAUCUGGUCCGAAAGGGCGUGGGUUCAAAUCCCACUCUCAUCA